rnacentral:rRNA from 1 species
AGUGAACGCUGGCGGUAGGCCUAACACAUGCAAGUCGAACGGCAGCACAGUAAGAGCUUGCUCUUACGGGUGGCGAGUGGCGGACGGGUGAGGAAUACAUCGGAAUCUACUUUUUCGUGGGGGAUAACGUAGGGAAACUUACGCUAAUACCGCAUACGACCUACUGGUGAAAGCAUGGGAUCUUCGGACCUUUCGCGAUUGAAUGAGCCGAUGUCGGAUUAGCUAGUUGGCGGGGUAAAGGCCCACCAAGGCGACGAUCCGUAGCUGGUCUGAGAGGAUGAUCAGCGACACUGGAACUGAGACACGGUCCAGACUCCUACGGGAGGCAGCAGUGGGGAAUAUUGGACAAUGGGCGCAAGCCUGAUCCAGCCAUACCGCGUGGGUGAAGAAGGCCUUCGGGUUGUAAAGCCCUUUUGUUGGGAAAGAAAAGCAGCAGGUUAAUACCCCGCUGUUCUGACGGUACCCAAAGAAUAAGCACCGGCUAACUUCGUG